GUGCCAGCCGCCGCGGUAAUACGUAGGGUGCAAGCGUUAAUCGGAAUUACUGGGCGUAAAGCGUGCGCAGGCGGUUUUGUAAGACAGAGGUGAAAUCCCCGGGCUCAACCUGGGAACUGCCUUUGUGACUGCAAGGCUAGAGUACGGCAGAGGGGGAUGGAAUUCCGCGUGUAGCAGUGAAAUGCGUAGAUAUGCGGAGGAACACCGAUGGCGAAGGCAAUCCCCUGGGCCUGUACUGACGCUCAUGCACGAAAGCGUGGGGAGCAAACAGGAUUAGAUACCCCGGUAGUCC
rnacentral:rRNA from 1 species